AACGAACGCUGGCGGCAGGCUUAACACAUGCAAGUCGAACGCCCCGCAAGGGGAGUGGCAGACGGGUGAGUAACGCGUGGGAAUCUACCUAGUUCUAUGGAACAACAGAGGGAAACUUCUGCUAAAUACCGUAUACGCCCUAAGGGGGAAAGAUUUAUCGGAAUUAGAUGAGCCCGCGUAAGAUUAGCUAGUUGGUGGGGUAAUGGCCUACCAAGGCGACGAUCUUUAGCUGGUCUGAGAGGAUGAUCAGCCACACUGGGACUGAGACACGGCCCAGACUCCUACGGGAGGCAGCAGUGGGGAAUAUUGGACAAUGGGCGCAAGCCUGAUCCAGCCAUGCCGCGUGAGUGAUGAAGGCCUUAGGGUUGUAAAGCUCUUUCAGUGGGGACGAUAAUGACGGUACCCACAGAAGAAGCCCCGGCUAACUUCGUG
rnacentral:rRNA from 1 species